rnacentral:tRNA from 1 species
UGGGGUGUAGCUCAGUGGCAGAGUAGUUGUCUAGUGUGCAUGUGGCUUGGGUUAUAUUCCCAGCACCUUAA